rnacentral:rRNA from 1 species
GACGAACGCUGGCGGCGUGCCUAAUACAUGCAAGUCGAACGCUGAAGGAGGAGCUUGCUUCUCUGGAUGAGUUGCGAACGGGUGAGUAACGCGUAGGUAACCUGCCUGGUAGCGGGGGAUAACUAUUGGAAACGAUAGCUAAUACCGCAUAAUAGUAGAUGUUGCAUGACAUUUGCUUAAAAGUUGCACUUUCAUCACUACCAGAUGGACCUGCGUUGUAUUAUCUAGUUGGUGAGGUAACGGCUCACCAAGGCGACGAUACAUAGCCGACCUGAGAGGGUGAUCGGCCAACAUGGGACUGAGACAAGGCCCAGAAUUCUUCGGGAGGCAGCAGUAGGGGAUCUUCGGAAAUGGAGGGAAGGCUGAACGAGCAACGCCGGGUGAGGGAAGGAGGGUUUCGGGUCGGAAAGCUCUGUUGUAAGAGAAGAACGAGUGUGAGAGUGGAAAGUUCACACUGUGACGGUAUCUAAACAGAAAGGGACGGCUAACUACGUG